rnacentral:rRNA from 1 species
UUAUGGCUCAGGAUGAACGCUGGCGGCGUGCUUAACACAUGCAAGUCGAACGAAGCACCUCUAAUCGAAGAUUGAGAAAGCUGCUUUGAUUGAUCACCUUGAGGUGACUGAGUGGCGGACGGGUGAGUAACGCGUGGGUAACCUACCCUAUACAGGGGGAUAACAGUUGGAAACGACUGCUAAUACCGCAUAAGCGCACAGGACCGCAUGGUCUAGUGUAGAAAAACUCCGGUGGUAUAGGAUGGACCCGCGUCUGAUUAGCUAGUUGGUGAGGUAACGGCUCACCAAGGCGACGAUCAGUAGCCGACCUGAGAGGGUGACCGGCCACAUUGGGACUGAGACACGGCCCAAACUCCUACGGGAGGCAGCAGGUGGGGAAUAUUGCACAAUGGGCGAAAGCCUGAAUGCAGCGACGCCGCGUGAACGAAGAAGUUAUUUCGGUAUAGUAAAGUUCUAUCAGCAGGGAAGAAAAAUGACGGUACCUGACUAAGAAGCUCCGGCUAAAUACGUGCCAGCCGCGGC